rnacentral:sRNA from 1 species
GUGUAGUGGCAGAAGCGCUGCUGUUGGUGCCAUUGCUGCUGCUGUUGGGAUAGACACUUGGCUGUGCUCCUGGCUGCUGUUCUGUUGGCAGCUGCAAUGGCUGCUGCUGCUGCUGCUGCUGCUGCUGAAACUGUUGUCCAUAUCCCUGCUGAAAUUGUUGCUGAUGCAGCUGCUGAUGCUGAUGCUGUUGCUGUUGCAGCUGCUGUGGCGUCUGCAGCUCCAGCAGUUGUGCCGGCUCCGCUGGCGAAUACUGUU